AGUUGGGCAUCCCAUUAUCCCUGCAUGCAAGUGCCUUGAAUUAUUAAAAUAUUUUGUUAAUUUGUGGUUCAAACCCUACAAGACGGAGGUAACCAAUUCACUACUACAUUUGUAAAGUUUCACCUAUUACACCACUACAUAUUCAAAGCCAACUUUUUGUUUUUAAGCUCAAAAUUCUGUUGUAAGAAUAGCAACAAUCACCAUACAUAUUUGUGGAAUACGUAAGAAAGAGAUGCAGCUAAAGCUAUUCCAUUUUUCAUCAACAAUCGCCGGCAUUAUAUGGAAAAAUUAAAGCAUCAAAAGGCGUUUAUAAAGAAAGUAAGUACUUGAAUUUUAUGUUGUUUGUAAAGCAUUUAUUAUGUAUAAUUGCAUUGGAUGGAGGAAAACUCUCAAUGCGCCGCCCAAGCUGAAAAUCCAGUUGGAUCAAUUGUGUCGCUAUCGUAAAGCGUUGCGUGUUUUUAGGGUAACACUCAACACUUUUCAUUUUGUUGGUGCGUCGUCAAAUAACACAACAUUGGGUAUGCGGCGUCGAAAAAGCUAAGAAUUUGGGGCACACCAUCUUGCGGAAGGUAACGGCCAACACUGCUAUUCAUACGCAGAGAAUUGUCAUCUCGGAAGAUCAAGAAUACGAAAAUGUCUACUAUGAGAUGAGGAUCAAGAAUUCGUAAAUGUCUACAAUGAGAAGCCCGAUUUCAAUCCAACACGCAUUUCGUCAUGGUUACUACGUAUCGAAUUGAAAUAUGAACACCGCUAACGUUUACCCUCUAAGCAAAAGCUAAGCAAUGCCCAAAUGACAUACAUAUGUGAAUCGUCGCACCGAUGCUAUUUCCUAUGAUGCGAUAGCUUAAAUGUUAAGAAGAUAUGAAACAGGCGCUUAAAUCAUUUAUAGGCGAGUUUUUGGAAUAAAAAAAUCCGCGCACAACUAAUGUUUUAUGACAUGGUGCGUUGUCGUGAUUAAAGGACCAAACCAUAUUUUUUAUGCAAAUAUAUUUGUAAUUGUAGUAGAAGUAAUUGUUUAUAAUAUUAUAUUAUUAAAUGUACUUUACUUGUUUAAGUAUAAAUUAUAAGUGUUAAUAUCUAUAUAUAAACUUUUUGCUGAUAUUUAUAUUUAACUAUAUAUAUAUAUAAUUUAUAUAUAUAUAAGGUAUUAAUUAAAUAAUUAUAAAAUACGUUUUAUAUAAUGAAAGAAAUCGAAAUAAUAUAAAAAAUAUAUUAUUUUAUUUAAAAUAAUUGGAAUUGGUUAUGGUAACAAAAAGAUAACUGCUAACAUAUGAAUUUAUUAGAUGUAACAAAUGGGUAACAAAUAAUAUAAAAUAUCGAGGUAAAUCGAGGUAACAGAUAUGCUUGUUAUAGCUAACAAAUAGGUAACAAAUACGCUAACACGUUUAUAUGUUAACGGUAGCAAACUGCUAAUGAAAACAACAGCACUAACAAAUAUUUUUGUUAUGGAUAACACAUAGGUAACCUAUUCGCUAACAAAAGUAUUUGUUACCUUAAACAGUCUAAACAGAUUUGAUAACCAAUGUAUGUCAUUCUGUUAACCAAAACAUAACAAACAAGUUACGCAUAUAAGAGUAACUUAAAACGAGACAGCAUGCCACAAUUGCAAUUGGAUAGAGCGAGAAAAGCAUUGAACAUCAAACGGCGAUGUGUUCCACUCUCUGAACAAAAGUAACAAAUUAUUUAAUGUAUACAUAAGUAAACAAUAACAAGUCGUUAACACGUUUGCUAAUAGACACCCGUCUUGAAGGGGAGUAUAAAACAUAUCUCUGAUGAAAUACAAAAAUCUCAAACAAAGAGUUUCGUAUCGUGGUAUCAGCGUUGCCGUUUUGGUCAGAUCGGUUUCAUUUGCCUUUGGUAGUUGGGUUGGUAGGCAGAAGGUUUUGGUAGGCAAUAUUUUUUAUCAGAUGUAUUUAGAACAAAAGUUAAUCCUAAGAUUUGUUAGUUCCCUUAAAAUUGAAUACUUUCUAGUUUGCUAUUCAUAAUAACUAAAAAAAUAGUCUUUUAUAGCAACCAUCUGCUCAAUGUGUGGAAAAUGAGAUAUCUAACUAUAAUUGAAACUGUGAAAUAAAGAUGGAAAGGGUCAAUAAUUUGAUAUAUUCGCGCAUUCCUUUAACUUCAUACAUUAAAUGAAAGAAAAACAGGCUCAUGCACAAGUAAAUACUUUAGUUUUUCUUUAAAUAAUUGUUAAUAUCAACU